rnacentral:rRNA from 1 species
GAUCCUGGCUUAGAUUGAACGCUGGCGGCAGGCCUAACACAUGCAAGUCGAACGGUAACAGGAAGCAGCUUGCUGCUUGCUGACGAGUGGCGGACGGGUGAGUAAUGUCUGGGAAACUGCCCGAUGGAGGGGGAUAACUACUGGAAACGGUAGCUAAUACCGCAUAACGUCGCAAGACCAAAGAGGGGGACCUUCGGGCCUCUUGCCAUCGGAUGUGCCCAGAUGGGAUUAGCUUGUUGGUGGGGUAACGGCUCACCAAGGCGACGAUCCCUAGCUGGUCUGAGAGGAUGACCAGCCACACUGGAACUGAGACACGGUCCAGACUCCUACGGGAGGCAGCAGUGGGGAAUAUUGCACAAUGGGCGCAAGCCUGAUGCAGCCAAUGCCGCGUGUAUGAAGAAGGCCUUCGGGUUGUAAAGUACUUUCAGCGGGGAGGAAGGGGUUAAGGUUAAUAACCUUAGCCAUUGACGUUACCCGCAGAAGAAGCACCGGCUAACUCCGUGCCAGCCGCCGC